rnacentral:rRNA from 1 species
AUUGAACGCUGGCGGCAGGCUUAACACAUGCAAGUCGAGCGGAGAGAGGUAGCUUGCUACUGAUCUUAGCGGCGGACGGGUGAGUAAUGCUUAGGAAUCUGCCUAUUAGUGGGGGACAACAUCUCGAAAGGGAUGCUAAUACCGCAUACGUCCUACGGGAGAAAGCAGGGGAUCUUCGGACCUUGCGCUAAUACGAUGAGCCUAAGUCGGAUUAGCUAGUUGGUGGGGUAAAGGCCUACCAAGGCGUCGACGGGUAGCCGGCCUGAGAGGGUGACCGGCCACAUUGGGACUGAGAUACGGCCCAG